rnacentral:lncRNA from 1 species
AGAACAUGCGCGUGUGUGUGAGUGAGUGUAUCACACAGUGUUGGUAGCUCCUUGGGUGUUGUUUUCAUCAUCGAUUUUUUCCAGGUUAUCCUCUCUCUCCUCCAGUCGGUUUGUACUUGCUGUUCUCUGUGACAUGCCAGUUCUUUCUCUUGCUCACUCUAGACCCCCGUAGCUGUGUUGGUAUUUUCCUUUGCUGGCUCACUGGGGUGUGUGUUCAGCUGUGGAGGAUCUACGGCAGGCUGGCAUUUUCUCAAAGAAUAGAGGAUUUGGACCCUUGUUUAUUCCUCCGCGGCUCUUCGAGCACUGGAGCGAUGAGCCCAAAGAAACUCCCACGGGCAGGUGCGGCUUCUCCCUCGGUGGUCCUUGGAUUCCCAUAAGUUCUCUGCUUCUGUUGUCACCAAGAUCUUCCUGCUGGAGAAGCAGA